CCUACGGGUGGCAGCAGUGAGGAAUAUUGGUCAAUGGGCGCGAGCCUGAACCAGCCAAGUCGCGUGAGGGAAGACGGUCCUAUGGAUUGUAAACCUCUUUUGUCGGGGAGCAAAAGACGCCACGCGUGGCGUUCCGAGAGUACCCGAAGAAAAAGCAUAGGCUAACUCCGUGCCAGCAGCCGCGGUAAUACGGAGGAUGCGAGGGUUAUCAGGAUUGAUUGGGUUAAAAGGGUGCGCAGGCGGAAGAUCAAGUCAGCGGUAAAAUGGAGGGGCUCAACCUCUUCGAGCCGUUGAAACUGGUUUUCUUGAGUGAGUGAGAAGUAAGUGGAAUGCGUGGUGUAGCGGUGAAAUGCAUAGAUAUCACGCAGAACACCGGUUGCGAAGGCAGCAUACCGGCGCUCAACUGACGCUCAUGCACGAAAGUGUGGGGAUCGAACAGGAUUAGAUACCCGAGUAGUC
rnacentral:rRNA from 1 species